rnacentral:rRNA from 1 species
UACAGAGGGGGCAAGCGUUGUUCGGAAUUACUGGGCGUAAAGGGCGCGUAGGCGGCCUUCUAAGUCGAACGUGAAAUCCCCGGGCUCAACCCGGGAACUGCGUCCGAUACUGGAAGGCUUGAAUCCGGGAGAGGGAUGUGGAAUUCCAGGUGUAGCGGUGAAAUGCGUAGAUAUCUGGAGGACCACCGGUGGCGAAGGCGACAUCCUGGACCGGUAUUGACGCUGAGGCGCGAAAGCCAGGGGAGCAAACGGG